GGUUAAGCGACUAAGCGUACACGGUGGAUGCCCUGGCAGUCAGAGGCGAUGAAGGACGUGCUAAUCUGCGAUAAGCGUCGGUAAGGUGAUAUGAACCGUUAUAACCGGCGAUUUCCGAAUGGGGAAACCCAGUGUGUUUCGACACACUAUCAUUAACUGAAUCCAUAGGUUAAUGAGGCGAACCGGGGGAACUGAAACAUCUAAGUACCCCGAGGAAAAGAAAUCAACCGAGAUUCCCCCAGUAGCGGCGAGCGAACGGGGAGCAGCCCAGAGCCUGAAUCAGUGUGUGUGUUAGUGGAAGCGUCUGGAAAGGCGCGCGAUACAGGGUGACAGCCCCGUACACAAAAAUGCACAUGCUGUGAGCUCGAUGAGUAGGGCGGGACACGUGGUAUCCUGUCUGAAUAUGGGGGGACCAUCCUCCAAGGCUAAAUACUCCUGACUGACCGAUAGUGAACCAGUACCGUGAGGGAAAGGCGAAAAGAACCCCGGCGAGGGGAGUGAAAAAGAACCUGAAACCGUGUACGUACAAGCAGUGGGAGCACGCUUAGGCGUGUGACUGCGUACCUUUUGUAUAAUGGGUCAGCGACUUAUAUUCUGUAGCAAGGUUAACCGAAUAGGGGAGCCGAAGGGAAACCGAGUCUUAACUGGGCGUUAAGUUGCAGGGUAUAGACCCGAAACCCGGUGAUCUAGCCAUGGGCAGGUUGAAGGUUGGGUAACACUAACUGGAGGACCGAACCGACUAAUGUUGAAAAAUUAGCGGAUGACUUGUGGCUGGGGGUGAAAGGCCAAUCAAACCGGGAGAUAGCUGGUUCUCCCCGAAAGCUAUUUAGGUAGCGCCUCGUGAAUUCAUCUCCGGGGGUAGAGCACUGUUUCGGCAAGGGGGUCAUCCCGACUUACCAACCCGAUGCAAACUGCGAAUACCGGAGAAUGUUAUCACGGGAGACACACGGCGGGUGCUAACGUCCGUCGUGAAGAGGGAAACAACCCAGACCGCCAGCUAAGGUCCCAAAGUCAUGGUUAAGUGGGAAACGAUGUGGGAAGGCCCAGACAGCCAGGAUGUUGGCUUAGAAGCAGCCAUCAUUUAAAGAAAGCGUAAUAGCUCACUGGUCGAGUCGGCCUGCGCGGAAGAUGUAACGGGGCUAAACCAUGCACCGAAGCUGCGGCAGCGACGCUUAUGCGUUGUUGGGUAGGGGAGCGUUCUGUAAGCCUGUGAAGGUGUGCUGUGAGGCAUGCUGGAGGUAUCAGAAGUGCGAAUGCUGACAUAAGUAACGAUAAAGCGGGUGAAAAGCCCGCUCGCCGGAAGACCAAGGGUUCCUGUCCAACGUUAAUCGGGGCAGGGUGAGUCGACCCCUAAGGCGAGGCCGAAAGGCGUAGUCGAUGGGAAACAGGUUAAUAUUCCUGUACUUGGUGUUACUGCGAAGGGGGGACGGAGAAGGCUAUGUUGGCCGGGCGACGGUUGUCCCGGUUUAAGCGUGUAGGCUGGUUUUCCAGGCAAAUCCGGAAAAUCAAGGCUGAGGCGUGAUGACGAGGCACUACGGUGCUGAAGCAACAAAUGCCCUGCUUCCAGGAAAAGCCUCUAAGCAUCAGGUAACAUCAAAUCGUACCCCAAACCGACACAGGUGGUCAGGUAGAGAAUACCAAGGCGCUUGAGAGAACUCGGGUGAAGGAACUAGGCAAAAUGGUGCCGUAACUUCGGGAGAAGGCACGCUGAUAUGUAGGUGAAGUCCCUCGCGGAUGGAGCUGAAAUCAGUCGAAGAUACCAGCUGGCUGCAACUGUUUAUUAAAAACACAGCACUGUGCAAACACGAAAGUGGACGUAUACGGUGUGACGCCUGCCCGGUGCCGGAAGGUUAAUUGAUGGGGUCAGCGCAAGCGAAGCUCUUGAUCGAAGCCCCGGUAAACGGCGGCCGUAACUAUAACGGUCCUAAGGUAGCGAAAUUCCUUGUCGGGUAAGUUCCGACCUGCACGAAUGGCGUAAUGAUGGCCAGGCUGUCUCCACCCGAGACUCAGUGAAAUUGAACUCGCUGUGAAGAUGCAGUGUACCCGCGGCAAGACGGAAAGACCCCGUGAACCUUUACUAUAGCUUGACACUGAACAUUGAGCCUUGAUGUGUAGGAUAGGUGGGAGGCUUAGAAGUGUGGACGCCAGUCUGCAUGGAGCCGACCUUGAAAUACCACCCUUUAAUGUUUGAUGUUCUAACGUUGACCCGUAAUCCGGGUUGCGGACAGUGUCUGGUGGGUAGUUUGACUGGGGCGGUCUCCUCCUAAAGAGUAACGGAGGAGCACGAAGGUUGGCUAAUCCUGGUCGGACAUCAGGAGGUUAGUGCAAUGGCAUAAGCCAGCUUGACUGCGAGCGUGACGGCGCGAGCAGGUGCGAAAGCAGGUCAUAGUGAUCCGGUGGUUCUGAAUGGAAGGGCCAUCGCUCAACGGAUAAAAGGUACUCCGGGGAUAACAGGCUGAUACCGCCCAAGAGUUCAUAUCGACGGCGGUGUUUGGCACCUCGAUGUCGGCUCAUCACAUCCUGGGGCUGAAGUAGGUCCCAAGGGUAUGGCUGUUCGCCAUUUAAAGUGGUACGCGAGCUGGGUUUAGAACGUCGUGAGACAGUUCGGUCCCUAUCUGCCGUGGGCGCUGGAGAACUGAGGGGGGCUGCUCCUAGUACGAGAGGACCGGAGUGGACGCAUCACUGGUGUUCGGGUUGUCAUGCCAAUGGCACUGCCCGGUAGCUAAAUGCGGAAGAGAUAAGUGCUGAAAGCAUCUAAGCACGAAACUUGCCCCGAGAUGAGUUCUCCCUGAC
rnacentral:rRNA from 1 species